rnacentral:rRNA from 1 species
GGGACAACCCGCCGAAAGGCGGGCUAAACCCGCGUACAUGCCACCGGGGCAUCCCGGAGGCAGGAAAGGCUUCGGCCGGACAGGGAUGGGCAUGCGGCGCAUUAGGCAGUAGGCGGGGUAACGGCCCACCCAACCGACGAUGCGUAGGGGUUCUGAGAGGAAGGUCCCCCACACUGGUACUGAGACACGGACCAGACUCCUACGGGAGGCAGCAGUGAGGAAUAUUGGUCAAUGGUCGGGAGACUGAACCAGCCAAGCCGCGUGAGGGAUGAAGGUACAGAGUAUCGUAAACCUCUUUUGUCAGGGAACAAAGGCGGGGACGUGUCCCCGGAUGAGUGUACCUGAAGAAAAAGCAUCGGCUAACUCCGUGCCAGCAGCCGCGGUAAUACGGAGGAUGCGAGCGUUAUCCGGAUUUAUUGGGUUUAAAGGGUGCGCAGGCGGUCUGUUAAGUCAGCGGUCAAAGCCCGGGGCUCAACCCCGGCCCGCCGUUGAAACUGGCAGUCUCGAGUUGGAGAGAAGUAUGCGGAAUGCGCGGUGUAGCGGUGAAAUGCAUAGAUAUCGCGCAGAACUCCGAUUGCGAAGGCAGCAUGCCGGCUCCACACUGACGCUGAGGCACGAAAGCGUGGGUAUCGAACAGGAUUAGAUACCCUGGUAGUCCACGCAGUAAACGAUGAAUGCUGGCUGUCCG